GCCACAAACAGGCCAAAAUAGAACUUGUAAGAUAAGGAACAUGCUCAAACUGGAUACGAAUAGGUUCAGCUUUCGAGGACUGCCUUGGUGCCAUUUUUUCCCACAAAUGCUUCCUUGGAAUUCAAAGCCAGCAAAUGCAUCCAUCUAAAUUUUCGCUCGCUCAAGCUAAGAGAGACCAAAUCCAGAGCUUGCAACCAGCUCAAACUGUGCGGAUACUGCCAAAGUUGAAAGCAUCGCUCACUGAGACCAUCAUGGAAGAGUUAAUUCUCAUACUGCAAGAGCAACUUGCAAAACAAAUACACAACAGAUUGGGCAAGUGAUAAAUCAGCAAAUACUUCCACAGCUUAGACAUCUCACAGGGGUAUACGUCACUGUGUCUACAAUGAUGACGCUGCUGCCUAGCAUCUUUAGUGCUACCCUUCAAACUCCCCGUCAGCUUACUCCUCUACCUACUAAAUGACAAUCAUGAUUAACUUGCUAACCUCUUAAAACGUGAGUUUGAUUUAGAACUGUCAUGAGUUAUGCUCCCCAGAACCAGAAAUUUUACAGCGAAGCUGUCAGCCUCUCGGUGGUCGGCAUUUUUUGUGUCCGUCUGUGAGCAGAGAAACCAUCAUCAGCAAUGGCUCAUACCCCCUAAGCAAGCAAAAAUGCAAUGGCUCGUCUCCCUUGUAAUGCAGAGGCUACAAGCACUCAGCAAAGUGAAGCGAACAGUGCAUAGCUUCAUUGGACUCAUACGUACAAUUAAGUACAGAACAGCUUACAUUUCAAUAAAUAACAAGCUCAAGACAAGUGUCUAUCAUCAUCAGCAAAGGCUCAUACCCCGGUAAGCAAUGGCUCAUACCACUGUAAGGCAGAGGCCACAAGUGCUCAGCAAAGUGAAGCGAAUAGUGCAUACAUUCAUUGGAAUCACCCAUACAACACACAGAAUGGCAUACAUUUAAAUGAAGUACAAGCUCAAAACAAGCAUCCAAACCAUAAAUUAAACAUUGCAUACGCCCCUCAGCAGUUGUAGUGGUGGUUUUGCAACAGCUUAUCUGGACAUCCACUUUUGCAGGGCCAGGAUGGCGAGUCAGUUUUUUAUGGACCUCCAGCAAACCUGUCCCAUAGCCCUUGAAGAAACCAAUGACUCUGGCUGGUCUACAUCGAUCAUCACAAUCUGAGGCAGAAGGCAAGAGAGCCCCGAUAAGGGGUCUCGCAUAAUACCCAUCAUACUAAUGGGGCACACAGCGCACUGCAGACAGUAGUGCAUUUGUCGCUCAAGCACAAUGAGAAACAGCUUUAACAAGAGAGAGGGAGAGAAAGGUAAAAGUAAAAGAACAAAUGCAGGGAUGUUAACCAGAACAAAAAAUCCACUUUGCUACCAGACAUAGGGUGUGCGGAAGCGGAAACGUACAGAGGAAAGAAAGAUAGACCGAGAGACAUGUGUGUAUGAUCACAGUCAGUCACAAUCACUACAAAUGACUACAGCACACAUUGUCCUUAAGAAUUGCAACAAUGCUUUCAUGGCCAUGACCACGUAUCAGGCCAACAUAUUAAAGCAAUUUCUUUUGACACUGACAAGGGUCUCCUCGUGGCCCCAGUUUUUACAGACUGUGUUGUAAUCCAUGCUAAUACGGUCCAGGCAAAAUAUUUUGUUAAGGCUAUCAUUACAGCCAUGGCUGCUGGAAAUUCAGCAGACAAUUCUGGGAGAUGAGCUCAGCACUCUCACUAGUACCAAAACUUAUUUGUGACUCUUCAAGUACAUCCCACCUGAACAAUUGGAGCUACUUCAUGUGCCACUGACAACUUGUCUUGAAAAGCCUAAACGGGCUGGUAUAGAUGUCGAAGUGUAAUUAUUCAUUUAAAGGGACACAAAAGUGAAACUUUAAGUGAUUUGAAAACUUUAUUUUUAUUAACUUUGUAAUGAUAGUUUGAUUAGUAAAGGAGAAAAUAAAGUGCAAAGUUCAAUUUCCUGAAUUUACUUUAUUUCCUGUAAUCCUACAUGCAAACCACUUUUAACUGUAAACAAUAAACUAAUCCCCAGCAGAUGCCAUCAAAAUCAAUGACGUCAUGGUGAGAUGGUGUUGGAACUUCAAGGCAGCGUUGCACCCCGUUUUUCGCUAUUCCUGUCUUACCAAGCCUCACCUCAUGGUGGGAGUGGAUCUUUUUUGGUAUUUUAGAUUGUUGUUUUACUAAUACAGGUGAAAUCCUUCUUGUCUUUUGUUUUUCUUUAAAUCCUUGCUUUAUAGUUUCUGGCUAUUUCACUUGCCUGAUUUACGUUUUGUCGCAAACCACUUUUGACUUGAGCCAGUGCGGGUUGUAAGGUGAUAGCAUUAUACAACACACUCACUGGCAUUUAUUGAUGGUGUCGAUGCAAAAUACAGAGAGCUGAUCAUGGAGGCAGCGUAAUCGGAGAUGUUAGAAGCGCUAGCACUUAUUUUUCUUUUCCUAUGUAAGCACGGUUUGUACAACUCCUUGAAAAUCUUUGAAUUUGAAAAAUCGAUUUAAGGGCCCUUAGAUCUCCUUGAAAUCAAAUGUGUUUCUCGAAUUCCUUGAAAACUGUGGUCGUGGACGAUUUUUGAACAUUCAAGUAACAAACUCUGCAUCAGCGCCAUGCCAUGGACAUGCACUGUCUAUCGGGAAAUUAUCACAGAUAUUUUCUUUUCAGAGUGCCGCAAAGCGAUGAUACGUGUCGUGUCCACAGCCACCAGCAAAAGGCCUGUUAAUGCGAUUAGCAUUCUUAUAGGAUACUUCACGCACCUUCCGGUGCCUAACUAUGGGUGGCAAAUGGAAAAAUUGUUGGUAAGUAAGCAGACAAUUCUAGUGUUCUAUACAUUCAAACUGAGGAAGAUCUGCUGAAGAUCUGCUAACUUUCACAGUGAUGGCUAUGUAUCAAUUACUACAAGAUAGCAACAACAGUAACUCUUUUUGUAUGCUGAUACAGUACAACGUGGACAGUUCGCUCCUUCUUUGCUCUCUUUUGCUGCUUCCUCUCUUUGCUCCUUCCUAGCUGUUAAUUCUUCUCUGUACGAUUUCAUAGCUGUUUCUGAGAUUUGGCUGAAACCAGGCAAAGUUCAAGAUAUCCCAGGCUAUUCAUUCUUUUCUAUGCCUCCGCAGUCUUGUGCUUGAGGCAGUGGUGUUGGUCUAUUCACGUUGACUUACUUAAAAAUGACAGCAAUGAAUACUUUCUCCUUAUUAGCUCUUAUGGUUUUCAUUACGAGUCCCAUUACGAGUGCCACCAGGGUCAUUGCUCCUUCAUCAAUAUCAAUCGACCAUAUAGUUCUGUGCAAUUUCAACACAAUGUGCAUUUUCCCCCAACUGGUGUUAAAAAAGCUUUCAAUACUGUUCAUCACGGUAUACCACUUAAGAAAUUAGAACGUCGUAGCUUCGGUGGGGGAUGCCUUAAAUUUUUUCGAAGCUACCUUACGGAAAGACAACAAACAGUUUGGUUUUUCAAUACUAAUUCAGAUUUUUUCCCACUUACCUUAGGUGUCCCCAAAAAUCAGUGUUGGGACCUAUUUUAUUUUCAUUGUACGCAAAUGACCUUCCAUUAAUGCUAAAUAUAUUUUCACUCCUGUCAUGUAUGUAAAUGACACUGCUCUCAUUCAUGCACAUCGAUUCAUGGACAACACUUUCCGUGCAGCUUACAAAGAAAUGAAGCUAAAUUGUGAUUGGUUCCAUGUCAGUAAACUGCUCUUAGACAUUAAGAAGGCAAAAUGUAUGGUGAUUCAUUGUUCCCAUAAAGAUAGCUAUAUCAUUGAACUUUUGUGUGCCUCUGGCUGAAGGAGAACCUAUAGAAAGAGUCAGUAACCUAAUAUAUUUAGGUGUUGUAUUAGAUUGUCACUUCAACUGGAAAAUACAUAUUGACUGUCUGUGCAAAAAGCUCGGCACGGUCUGCUUUACGGUUUUCAAAUGUUGCCAUUUCUUUGAUGUAGCAACAUUGAGAACAAUCUAUUUUGCCCUAUUUCAUUGUCAACCAUCUUAUUGUACAGAAUCUUGGGGUCAUACACACGAUUCUUACAUAAAACCACUUGUAGUCCUGCAAAAACGUGCAACCCAUUACAUGUAAAACUCAAAUUAUGCGACCUCUACUAAACCCCUCUUUUCUAAAAUACCAAAUCAUGUCCCUACAGCUGCUAAUAAAUUACAAAACUACAAUGAUGGUGCCUAUAUCUCGUUAACUAGCAAUGUCCCCUUUCACUGCUCGGUUUUUAUGCCCUGUCAUUUCGAAACAAGAGGCUAUGAAUGUAGUAACUGCUUGAAGCCACUAGUAAAAAAUGUGCAUGGAAAAAAAUUGCCUUCUAGUGUUGGUUGUUCUCUCUGGGACAAUCUUCGUGUUCGGCUAAAGCAACAUAAAUCUUUUCUUGUGAUGCUUAAACAUUAUUGCAAAAAACUUAUUAGUUGCUGAAACUCUUUUGUAUGCUAAUAUGCAUAAAGGUGGCCCCUGCCUGUAUGCUUAUGCAUGUAUUGCUGCUUCUAUUUCUGCAUGGGCCCUUACUAGCAUGAUGCUAAGGAUGCAGAUGCUUCUCAACGUUUCUUUAAUUGUUGACCUUACUUUGUCUAAUAAAAAUUUAAAUUCAGAUCUAUCUAUCCCUCUUUCCCUCUGUUUUCGCACCAACUUAUGUCACUGGGUAGUCUAUGGUCUAAUUGGUACAGCAUCCGGCUGCUGUUCUGAGAGAACCAAGUUCGAAACUGACCAUCGUACCAACUCGGGUUCAAUGACCCUCUAUGGUGCCACUUUGGCUCAUUAUGCAUGUGGCACUGGGCAUGUGAGCAUGUGGCACUGGGAAGGCACCAUUCCUUAAAGCCAAAAAAAAUUUUUAAGCAUUUCUGUGGUACUGAGUGGAAUCAAACUUGCAUCAUAUAUAUAUUAUUCAAAAGACAAUGCGUUCACAUACACACCACGCAUGGACUUCACGGCAAUGCUGGUAGAUGGCACAGCAUGUUUCGUGGGAAGCACCAGACAGGAUCCCCGUUGCAUGCAUGACUCAUAGACGACAUUUUUGGUGCUGGCAAUACGAUGUGUCGCUACACUGCUUCAGUGCGCAUUGCAUUAACAUCAACAUUGACAGGGAGAUGAGUCUGGCCGAAAUCCUUAAAUUUACCAUUGCCACUAUGGAGCCAGACAAAGCCAGAUCAAGCGACCAAGCAUUAUCACUGUUUUUUUUAUUUUGUUAAUUGGCUUGGUUGGUUCACAGUGCAGUCAUCACCGCUCCAGUUUUAAAGCCCCAGACUUUGUAAAUGCGUGGUGGAAAAUAAGCUUCAGCAAUUUACCUUUAGCCCGACAAGUAUCUUUGGUUGAGGCCUUAGACUACUAGCCAUCAACUGAACUAUGUGUCCAACUCAGCAGCUGCUUGGCUGCAAGAAAUUGCAGCUGAGACAAGAAGGAGAUUUCACUAUUUUCCAGUGUACGUAUGAAUAAGAUUUGUUUUCCCCUUCCUUGAGUUUUGGCCUUUGGCAUCCCUGAAAUUGUUGAUUAGCCCCUUGAAUUUUCAUUGGGAUGUCAUGUAUGAGCCCUGUGCAAGUUUUCUUUGGGAGUCGGGAGGGGGGUGAAUGUUGGCUGUAAUAUGCUAUGCAUUAAAUAGUACUUUCUUGUGGACUAGCUGGUUCAUACUUGAAUUAUUAACGUGCUGCGCAGGAUGUUCAAGGAAAAGGAAAGAGCAUAGGACAGUGCAAAGCCCAGCUACGAUAGCCAACAUGAAACGUGAUGAUCUGUGACAACAGAAAAAGGCCGGCCGAACAGGCAGGGGAGGAAGUGUGUCAUGCCCCUGUACUUUAUAUCGGAACUGGACAAGAACAUUUCCGUGAUGCCCCAACUUUAGUGAGAUGUACAGUGGCUAAUCAAGGAUAGGCCGGGCCAAGCAUGACAAGAUAGCUUGGGCUAAGUGUGUGGGCAUUGACAUCAGCCUUUUGUUGUGCCAGCCACUGGCCAAUGUUUUACCUCGCAUGGCCCGACAUAAAUUCUUGUAUGGAUCCGAUACAUUAGCACACCCAGGAUUAUUGUCUGGGCGUGGGGCAAAAUUUGGCAAGACAUAAUAACAUAUACGUAAGAAAUAACAUUUCAAUUUACAGAUAGUUAUGGGGGAGGGCUGUGAACCCAGGGCGAUUUUGGGAAGACUGACAAACUUUUUUUAAAAACACCUCCAUAGCAGAUAGCACAAUUUUGCAUCUCGCUGAGGUAGAUAGCGCAAUUUGAUUACUCGCAAAGGUAGACAUUAUUUUCAUGAAUAACUGAAAUGCAUAAUCGAAAAGGACAAGUUUAUUCAUUUAAAUACCUUAUGGGCACCAAAAGGAAUUGCAUAAUGGAGGGAUACACAGGAAUGCAGUUUACUAACACGAAAAAAAUAAAAGUAAUGGCACUAACGAUGAUGCACCAUGUUAGGAAAAAAGAAGGAAGUAGCAUAGUACAUAUGCAAGAGGCUAGCAGAAGGUACAAAAGAAUAUUUCAUCUUUAUAAGUAGUGAAAGAAAAAUUACUUCUAGGAAAAAAUUAUUAUAAAAGAAAAGAAAGAACGCAUCCAUGCUUUACAGAUAGCUCUAACAGCCCACAAUUCCCUAUCCCUCUCCUAAAAACGUGUUAAAAAAUAUUUUACAAAAGGACAUAGGGCAUCGAAAGCAACAGUACUGUCUUGGAAACAAGGAAACAAAUUACAAAUGCAGGUAAUGGCACGCUGGGGGAACUCAAUUAAAUGAUGUAAAAAACAUGAAUUAUUAAAGGACGUUGCAAAUUUGCA